rnacentral:rRNA from 1 species
GAUGAACGCUAGCGGCAGGCUUAAUACAUGCAAGUCGAGGGGCAGCAUGGGUAGCAAUACCUGAUGGCGACCGGCAAACGGGUGCGGAACACGUACGCAACUUUCCCAGAACUGGUGAAUAGCCCUCCGAAAGGAGGAUUAAUACACCGUAAGAUAGAGAUGUGGCAUCACAUUUUUAUUAUAGCUCCGGCGGGUUUGGAUGGGCGUGCGCCUGAUUAGGUAGUUGGCGGGGUAACGGCCCACCAAGCCUACGAUCAGUAACUGGUGUGAGAGCACGACCAGUCACCCGGGCACUGAGACACGGGCCCGACUCCUACGGGAGGCAGCAGUAAGGAAUAUUGGUCAAUGGACGCAAGUCUGAACCAGCCAUGCCGCGUGAAGGAUGAAGGCCCUCUGGGUUGUAAACUUCUUUUAUCUGGGACGAAAAAGGGGCAUUCCUGCUCAACUGACGGUACCAGAGGAAUAAGCACCGGCUAACUCCGUGCCAGCAGCCGCAGUAACAC